rnacentral:rRNA from 1 species
GACGAACGCUGGCGGCGUGCCUAAUACAUGCAAGUUGAGCGCUGAAGGUUGGUACUUGUACCAACUGGAUGAGCAGCGAACGGGUGAGUAACGCGUGGGGAAUCUGCCUUUGAGCGGGGGACAACAUUUGGAAACGAAUGCUAAUACCGCAUAAAAACUUUAAACACAAGUUUUAAGUUUGAAAGAUGCAAUUGCAUCACUCAAAGAUGAUCCCGCGUUGUAUUAGCUAGUUGGUGAGGUAAAGGCUCACCAAGGCGAUGAUACAUAGCCGACCUGAGAGGGUGAUCGGCCGCACUGGGACUGAGACACGGCCCAAGCUCCUACGGGAGGCAGCAGUAGGGAAUCUUCGGCAAUGGACGAAAGUCUGACCGAGCAGCGCCGCGUGAGUGAAGAAGGUUUUCGGAUCGUAAAACUCUGUUGGUAGAGAAGAACGUGGGUGAGAGUGGAAAGCUCAUCAAGUGACGGUAACUACCCAGAAAGGGACGGCUAACUACGU